UACAGAGGUCUCAAGCGUUGUUCGGAUUCAUUGGGCGUAAAGGGUGCGUAGGUGGCAUGGUAAGUCGGAUGUGAAAUCCCGGGGCUCAACCCCGGAACUGCAUUCGAUACUGCUGCGCUAGAGUACUGGAGAGGAGAUUGGAAUUUACGGUGUAGCGGUGAAAUGCGCAGAUAUCGGGAGGAACACCAAUGGCGAAGGCAGCUCGCUGGGACGGUACUGACGCUGAGGCGCGAAAGCGUGGGGAGCAAACAGG
rnacentral:rRNA from 1 species